GUUUGUACCAUAAAUGAGCAAGAACAAUUAUCUUCACUAAUUUGCUUUAUGCUUUGUACAAGUUUCAGAUCUGUAAAAUACUGGUUUGAGAAAAUUUUAUGUUGGAUGUACAGAUAAUAAAGGUAUGUAUUAUAUAAAAAAUGGAAAGGGCAGAUACAUGAGUUUGAAAAUACAGCAAAAUAUGUUAUCGCUUAAUUUCACGGCAAAGUAUAUCAUCAAUGUUAAUUAUACAAUUGCCUAUUAAUAGCAACAUAUAACAUUCAAAUAUAUUUGAAUGUGGACUUAAUCUUGUUAAUCAGUACAGAGAUUAAUGCAAUUUCACAAAUAAUUUGACUAGCAACUUUUAACAAUAUUGAUUAGAAGUACACAUUUACUUAUUAUAUGAUUUGAAUGGACUCAAGAUCUGAGAGUUUUCUUACUUGUUAACAGAAUAAGGCCUUGUAAAUAUAUUAUUUUUUUUUAUUGAUAAGGAUUGAAUUGUAAUUUCUUGUAAUUGAAUAUCAUUGUAUGUUUAUAAAUAUGUAUAUCAGUUACUAGGUUUUACAACUUGUAACUUGUACUUUUAUCAAGCUAAUCUGAAGAAAAAAAAACUGAUGGUGUUGUUGGAUUUAAAAUGAAAAAGUUAUGAAAGCUAAGCAGUUUAUUAUAUUUGUCUGCAUGACAUGAUAAUAAGAGGGGCAUAUUGAUACUUGCCUUGCAAAAAGUUAUAAAAUGUUCUUUUUUCUUUUUUAUUUUAGGUAAGUGAAUUGGAAUAUAGAGAUAUUGGUUUGCUGUCUUUGAAGGACUUUCCAUGGAUAGUGAAUGAACAUUUUAAUCAAAAAUAAGAUAUAUGAUAUCUUGCAUAGUAUUUUUCUCUAUAUGUUUAUGUAAUUUGCCACUUUUAAAAAAUAAAUUUUAAAUUCUUGGAAAAUCAUAAUUUUCCUCUGAU
rnacentral:lncRNA from 1 species